GACGAACGCUGGCGGCGUGCUUAACACAUGCAAGUCGAACGGAGUUUAAGAGGAAGCUUGCGAAUCUUAAACUUAGUGGCGGACGGGUGAGUAACGCGUGGAUAACCUGCCUACAUGACUGGGACAACACCGGGAAACUGGUGCUAAUACCGGAUACGCUCAUCUUUAUACAUGUAGAGAUGAGGAAAGGAGAAAUCCGCAGGUAGAUGGGUCCGCGUCCCAUUAGCUAGUUGGGGGUGUAACGGACCACCAAGGCGACGAUGGGUAGCCGGCCUGAGAGGGUGAACGGCCACACUGGAACUGAGACACGGUCCAGACUCCUACGGGAGGCUG
rnacentral:rRNA from 1 species